rnacentral:rRNA from 1 species
UACGUAGGGAGCGAGCGUUAUCCGGAUUUACUGGGUGUAAAGGGUGCGCAGGCGGCCUGGUAAGUCAGAAGUGAAAUUUCGGGGCUCAACCCCGGAGCUGCUUCUGAAACUGCUAGGCUAGAGUGUGGGAGAGGAAAGUGGAAUUCCUAGUGUAGCGGUGAAAUGCGUAGAUAUUAGGAGGAACACCAGUGGCGAAGGCGACUUACUGGACCAAAACUGACGCUGAGGCGCGAAAGCGUGGGGAGCAAACAGGAUUAGAUACCCCCGUAGUCCCUGAG